AUUGAACGCUGGCGGCGUGCCUAACACAUGCAAGUCGAGCGGUAACAGGUGUAGCAAUACAUGCUGACGAGCGGCGGACGGGUGAGUAACGCUUGGGAAUCUGCCUAUUAGUGGGGGACGAACCCGGGGAAACGUCGGGCGUAAUACCGCAUACGCUCUACGGAGGAAAGCCGGGGACCGCAAGGCCUGGCGCUAAUAGAUGAGCCCAAGUCGGAUUAGCUAGUUGGUAGGGGUAAUGGCCUACCAAGGCGACGAUCCGUAACUGGUCUGAGAGGACGACCAGUCACACCGGAACUAGAGACACGGUCCGGACUCCUACGGGAGGCAGCAGUGGGGAAUAUUGGACAAUGGGCGAAAGCCUGAUCCAGCGACGCCGCGUGGGUGAAGAAGGCCUGCGGG
rnacentral:rRNA from 1 species